UAACACUGCCCGCGUAAACCCCCUACGCCGAGCUCAAACACAAAUUAGCACAACGGUAUCGGAAGAUAAAUCUACACGGUAACGCAGGCAGGCCCACGCCCGCUCACUGCCCAACUGGAGAAGUAUAUACGAUACCCCCUAACAGCACGGCUUGCCAGUUUCUGUCUUACCACCAAACGGCCCUGGAUACACGGACUCACACUCAAGAAUGCACGGGCCCCCAACACGACUUGUUUAAUCGACCAGAAAACUUCCGGCUUAUGACCUCCCCUCGAAAAGCCCUCAGUCUCACGUCUCAGUUCUCACGCGGGGCGGGAGAGGGGGGCGGCAGGCCCGCAACGAGCGCAACCCGCGGCGGGAGGGACCCGGGGCGACCGAGAGGGGCGCGGGACCGGGGGAGGAAGGCGCGGAUGACGUCAAGGCAGCAUGGCCCGGACGUCCAGGGCGACACACACGCGAGAAGGGCCACGACAAUUCGGUGCCAAGCCGGAAGGCGGAGCGAAGCGCGGAAACGGGGGCGCAGGGCAGAGCGGGGGCGGCAACGCGCCCCCGUGAAGGCGGAGUUGCUAUUAACCGCGUAAGGGCG
rnacentral:rRNA from 1 species